rfam:Listeria phage A511, complete genome.
GUGCGUAUGAUAUAAUGGCUAUUAUACUCGACUGUCUAUCGAGAAAUAGGGGUUCGAUUCCCCUUACGUGCG